CACGUAGGGGGCAAGCGUUGUCCGGAUUUAUUGGGCGUAAAGAGCUCGUAGGCGGCUUAGUAAGUCGGGUGUGAAACCUCCAGGCUCAACCUGGAGACGCCACCCGAUACUGCUGUGGCUAGAGUCCGGUAGGGGAGCGUGGAAUUCCUGGUGUAGCGGUGAAAUGCGCAGAUAUCAGGAGGAACACCAGUGGCGAAGGCGGCUCACUGGCCCGGUACUGACGCUGAGGUGCGAAAGCGUGGGGAGCAAACAGG
rnacentral:rRNA from 1 species